GACUAACUACGAUAAGCUUUGGUGAGCGGUAAGUACGCUAUGACCCAAAGAUUUCCGAAUGGGGAAACCCAACUCGUAAGAGUUGUCUGUAUCUGAAUACAUAGGAUAUUUGACGGAAUACGCUGUGAACUGAAACAUCUCAUUAGCAGCAGGAGCAGAAAGAAAAAUCGAUUCCCUAAGUAGCGGCGAGCGAACGGGGAAGAGCCCAAACCAACGUGCUUGCAUGUUGGGGUUGUAGGACUGAUAUAUAAGAGUUACAAAAGUGUUUUAUAGCAGAACAAGUUGGGAAACUUGGCUAUAGAGGGUGAUAGCCCCGUAAGCGAAAUGAAGCACACUCUUUUCAGGAUCCUGAGUACGGCCGGACACGUGAAAUCCGGUCGGAAUCUGCGGGGACCAUCCCGUAAGGCUAAAUACUCCCUAGUGACCGAUAGUGAACCAGUACCGUGAGGGAAAGGUGAAAAGCACCCCGGAAGGGGAGUGAAAUAGUUCCUGAAACCACGACGCCUAAAAGAAGGCAGAGCCCGUUAAUGGGUAGCGGCGAAAUUCCAAACGAACUUGGAGAUAGCUGGUUCUCUCCGAAAUAGCUUUAGGGCUAGCCUCAUUAUAAGCAUACUGGAGGUAGAGCACUGUUAAGCCUAGGGGCCCAUCUCGGGUUACCAAAGUUUGAUAAACUCCGAAUGCCAGAUAUGUAUGAAUGGGAGUCAGACGAUGAGUGAUAAGAUCCACCGUCGAAAGGGGAACAGCCCAGAUCGCCAGUUAAGGUCCCUAAAUAUAUGUUAAGUGGAAAACGAUGUGAUAGUGCAUAGACAACUAGGAUGUUGGCUUAGAAGCAGCCACCAUUUAAAGAGUGCGUAAUAGCUCACUAGUCGAGUGCCAUUGCGCGGAAAAUGUACCGGGGCUAAACAUAUUACCGAAACUGCGGGUGCACGUAAGUGCGCGAUAGGAGAGCGUUGUAAGGGCGACGAAGGUAGAUCGUAAGGACUGCUGGAGCGCUUACAAGUGAGAAUGCCGGUAUGAGUAGCGAAAGACAGGUGAGAAUCCUGUCCACCGAAUGACUAAGGUUUCCUGGGGAAGGCUCGUCCACCCAGGGUUAGUCGGGACCUAAGGCGAGGCUGAGAAGCGUAGUCGAUGGAUAACAGGUUGAGAUUCCUGUACCAGUUGUAAUGCGUUAUUACCGAUGGAGGGACGCAGGAGGCUACCAGAUGCGCACUGAUGGAUAUGUGCGUGCAAGCAGUAAGUCUUGAAAAGAGUGAAAUGCUUUUUUCUAUAAGGACAAGCUGUGAUGCGGAUCGAAAUAAAGUAGAGAAGUCUGAGACGUCACACUGCCGAGAAAAGCUUCUAGGAAGUAUUACACUGCCCGUACCGCAAACCGACACAGGUAGUCGAGUGGAGAACACUAAGGUGAGCGAGAGAACCCUCGUUAAGGAACUCGGCAAAAUGACCCCGUAACUUCGGGAGAAGGGGUGCUCAUGGUAAAACAUGAGCCGCAGUGAAUAGGCCCAGGCGACUGUUUAUCAAAAACACAGGUUUCUGCAAAAUCGUAAGAUGAAGUAUAGGGGCUGACGCCUGCCCGGUGCUGGAAGGUUAAAAGGAGUGCUUAGUUUCGGCGAAGGUACGAAUUGAAGCCCCAGUAAACGGCGGCCGUAACUAUAACGGUCCUAAGGUAGCGAAAUUCCUUGUCGGGUAAGUUCCGACCCGCACGAAAGGCGUAACGAUCUGGGCACUGUCUCAACGAGGGACUCGGUGAAAUUUAAAUACCCGUGAAGAUGCGGGUUACCCGCGACAGGACGGAAAGACCCCAUGGAGCUUUACUGUAGCUUGAUAUUGAAUGUUUGUGCUGCUUGUACAGAAUAGGUAGGAGACGUAGAAGAUUGGACGCUAGUCUAGUCGGAGUCGCACGGUGGGAUACUACCCUCGUUGUAUGAACAUUCUAACACUGGUCACUCAACGUGAUCGUGGACAGUGUCUGGCGGGCAGUUUGACUGGGGCGGUCGCCUCCUAAAAGGUAACGGAGGCG
rnacentral:rRNA from 1 species